CUAGAUCUCAUUUAAGAGCUGACUACUGGGGAGAAAGGAUCUCUUUCUGGAGAUUCCUCCUUUGGAAUUUUCCAGUGAGUUCAGGACAAGGAGGGAUGUUGAUAGUGUGUGACUUUGAGAAACUGAAAGUCAACAAAAAAAUUGCCUUAAUACUGUGGUCUGUGGAAGAUAAAAACACAGACUUUCUGAAGGGUGAGGGCUUGCAACACACAAGGCUUGUGAGCUGUUAGACCAAACAUCUGGGACCUCCAGAAUGGCUGCAUUGAUGGAUCCAGUGAAAGUCACAGAGGCAAACUGGCAGCUGUAUCACUGCCAGUUGGUCACCAGCAAUUGUGACUGCAUACUUGAACAGACAUGCCAAAAAUAUUCUCUGCUGUAGAAUUUAUUUGCUAGAAGCAUUUUAUAAUAGCAGAUAAAGAAAGUCGUUGGAUUGUCCCCAUUCGUUCUCCUAGGAGGAAAAAAAAACAAACUACACAGUGCAAAUGAUAUUUUUCACCUUUUUUUAAUUAGCUAAUAUGCUGUGCGUCAUGGUUUACUUCUGACCCCAUUCUGGAAGGUUAGAAACAUAGACAGCAAUGGGAUACUUUGGUUCUUUUAAUUUGUUCAUCUUAUUUUAAAAUAUAUGUAUACAGAUAGCAAGGAUCUUUCACCUGGAGGUGCUCAGCUCUUGCUAGUACUGUAAAGCUAUACAGAUAAAAAUAUGUUGCAUUUAUGUCACUGCAAAAUCCUAAAGUGCAUCCAUUGUUUUCAGAUGUCUUGGAGAGUUACUUUUCAUCCUGCAUUGGGUGCUAGGCCGUUUUCAUUGUCUUGGGAGCUUCACAAAGGUAUAAGCAACAAUGUGCUAUGUGCACUGACUUUGAUCUGCAGACUUCAAACGAAUGCACUGUGCAAGCGUUCGUCACAGACCCAACAGUCUAGCAGGGGCUGGAACCCAUUCUAUGACCAAACCCAGCUAUUUUGAUUCUGUUUUUGUAUCCUCACCUUAGCAGGAACGAUUUAAAUGACACUGACCCUAUGUCAAUGCAUGUUCAGGUGCUUCAGACUAGAUUUUGGAGAGUUAACAGCAUGGAUAGUCGCCAAGCAGGGCGCACCACUGCGGUCAGGUCCCAGCCAAAAAUAGCGUUCAUAUUCUUGACCCAGGAUGGGGAGAUUAUUUUUUCUGUCAGAAGACUGUAAUGUAGUGGAAACUAGAGUUUCUUUCUUAGUGGUUGAAGAUUUUGGUGCUAAGCAGUUUCUUCUGGUAAAAUAUUUUAAGUAGUGACAUAAUUUCCUUUGAAUAGCUAUCAUUUUCAAGCCCAGUAAAAGUGAGAGGUUUAUGGGCUGUAUUAACUCAAACAGCCCUUUGGAGAGCUUCUAAUGUUUUAUGAAUACUUAUUGUCUGCUUUUUCUCCCUGCUUUAAAUAAUGAAAUACCUAACACCUGCAAAUGAGUAAUGAUGUCGAGAAAGAAGAUCUAACAGUUAGUGCUGCCUGGAAUAUCAGGCAUCAGAAUUUCUCAUUUGUAAACAAGGCUUCUCACAGGGGUUGCAAAUAUCAGUCGUCAUCUCCGAAGCUGCUGCAGGAAGCAUUCAGACCGUCAGUGGGUGAGUGCACUGUGACUGAUGGCAUGCUGGAAGAAUUUGCCUCAGUUUCAGGCCUUGUGAACCAUAGGGAGCACGUCUGCAAAUGGAUCUUACAGAAGUACAAUGUGAAAGAACUUGAAGAUCAUAUAAACGUUUCUCGUGGGAGCAAAGAGAUGUGGUGUUUCAAAUUUAACACAAUAAAAAUUGAGUUCAGUGCCUGAUCUCUUUUUUUCCUUACCUGACUAUAUUUGCUCUCUAACUUGCUGUGUGGAGCUUGCUUGGCACUUUUCUUCGCCCCAGUGAUCUCAUCUCUCUUUAAUCUUGUUCUUUCCUUUUUUUCUUUCCUUUCACACCUCCCCUGGCUGUAUUUACCUAUUUACAAAUCUGUGGAGAACGCUACCGCACAGCUGCGUUUAAAAAGCAGCAUUAAAAAUAAAAGUUCUUGACUUACUCAGCAAAAGGAAGAUGGAUUUUUCUCUGUCCUAAUCUCUUGAAUAUAUGACAGAUUAUAGUGUGGACUUGUAGAACUAUUAAGGCAUAAUUACUGAGAAGUGAAAGUGCAGCAAUAAAAGCUUCUUUGAAUCUUGCAUUUUAAAUAGAGUUGAAUCCUAGAAAUCUUUCUGUGGUGAAAAUACUUGUGUAAGAACAGAUUGUUCCAUAUCUGUCUCUAUCAAAAUGCAUUUUCUAGGUGAUAGGAUAGAUAGAUAAAUAGAGUAACGAAGACAACAAA